GGGAGGGGACAAUGGUCAGACUUGGUUCCAGGUAAGUGGGUAACAAUAGAAUCAGGGUAUUAUUUUAUCCAGGAGGCAUUGGCAAGACAUCUGCCAAGCCUUUCAUGGAUAAGAGCUCCUCUAUUACGGUACUUUUUAUUGGUCCAGGUGUAUUUACAGCCUGUAUACCCAAGAUCCACUAUGUUACAAUAAUUGAGGCAAUCCCAGAACUGAUUUGUUCUGUUGCUAUUAAUAAGAGCUCCUCCUAAUUUCUCAUAGGUCGUUUGGACCUCAUUAAUCCCCUAUUAGCCAUUUGCCAGUGUAGACGUUGGCUAUGUUCUUUAGUUCC
rnacentral:lncRNA from 1 species